UAGGGAAUCUUCGGCAAUGGACGAAAGUCUGACCGAGCAACGCCGCGUGAGUGAAGAAGGUUUUCGUAUCGUAAAACUCUGUUGUUAGAGAAGAACAAGGACGUUAGUAACUGAACGUCCCCUGACGGUAUCUAACCAGAAAGCCACGGCUAACUACGUGCCAGCAGCCGCGGUAAUACGUAGGUGGCAAGCGUUGUCCGGAUUUAUUGGGCGUAAAGCGAGCGCAGGCGGUUUCUUAAGUCUGAUGUGAAAGCCCCCGGCUCAACCGGGGAGGGUCAUUGGAAACUGGGAGACUUGAGUGCAGAAGAGGAGAGUGGAAUUCCAUGUGUAGCUGUGAAAUGCGUAGAUAUAUGGAGGAACACCAGUGGCGAAGGCGGCUAUCUGGUCUGUAACUGACGCUGAGGCUCGAAAGCGUGGGGAGCAAACAGG
rnacentral:rRNA from 1 species